rnacentral:rRNA from 1 species
GGAGCAUGUGGUUUAAUUCGACGAUAACCGAAGAACCUUACCAGGGCUUGAAACUCCGAUGAAAUCCCGAUGAAAGUCGGGCCCUCGCAAGACAUCGGAGCAGGUACUGCAUGGCUGUCGUCAGCUCGUGCCUUGAGGU